GUUUAGUCCAUUUAGUCCAUUACC
rnacentral:miRNA from 1 species